rnacentral:rRNA from 1 species
AACGAACGCUGGCGGCAUGCCUAACACAUGCAAGUCGAACGAGAUCUUCGGGUCUAGUGGCGCACGGGUGCGUAACGCGUGGGAAUCUGCCCUUUGGUUCGGAAUAACAGUUGGAAACGACUGCUAAUACCGGAUGAUGACGAAAGUCCAAAGAUUUAUCGCCAGAGGAUGACCCCGCGUAGGAUUAGCUAGUUGGUGUGGUAAAGGCGCACCAAGGCGACUAUCCUUAGCUGGUCUGAGAGGAUGAUCAGCCACGCUGGGGCUGAGACACGGCCCACACUCCUACGGGAGGCAGCAGUGGGGAAUAUUGGACAAUGGGCGAAAGCCUGAUCCAGCAAUGCCGCGUGAGUGAUGAAGGCCUUAGGGUUGUAAAGCUCUUUUACCCGGGAUGAUAAUGACAGUACCGGGAGAAUAAGCUCCGGCUAACUCCGUGCCAGCAGCCGCGGUAAUACGGAGGGAGCUAGCGUUGUUCGGAAUUACUGGGCGUAAAGCGCACGUAGGCGACUUUGUAAGUUAGAGGUGAAAGCCUGGAGCUCA